rnacentral:rRNA from 1 species
AUUGAACGCUGGCGGCGUGCUUAACACAUGCAAGUCGAGCGGUAAGGGCCCUUUCGGGGGUACACGAGCGGCGAACGGGUGAGCAACACGUGGGUGACCUGCCCUCAGCUCUGGGAUAAGCCUGGGAAACCGGGUCUAAUACUGGAUAUGACUCCAUGACGCAUGUUGUGGGGUGGAAAGCCUUGUGCGGCUGAGGAUGGGCCCGCGGCCUAUCAGCUUGUUGGGGGGUGAUGGCCUACCAAGGCGACGACGGGUAGCCGGCCUGAGAGGGCGACCGGCCACACUGGGACUGAGACACGGCCCAGACUCCUACGGGAGGCAGCAGUGGGGAAUCUUGCGCAAUGGGCGAAAGCCUGACGCAGCGACGCCGCGUGAGGGAUGACGGCCU